rnacentral:rRNA from 1 species
UCCUACGGGUGGCUGCAGUCGAGAAUCUUCGGCAAUGGGCGCAAGCCUGACCGAGCGACGCCGCGUGGAGGAUGAAGGCCCUUGGGUUGUAAACUCCUGUCAGAGGGGAUGAAGUGCCAGUCAGCAAUCUGAUUGGUUUGACAUAGCCUCAGAGGAAGCACGGGCUAAGUUCGUGCCAGCAGCCGCGGUAAUACGAACUGUGCAAACGUUAUUCGGAAUCACUGGGCUUAAAGGGUGCGUAGGCGGCUUGCCAAGUAGGGUGUGAAAGCCCCCGGCUUAACCGGGGAAUUGCGCCCUAAACUGGCGAGCUGGAGUGAGAUAGGGGUGUGUGGAACUUCCGGUGGAGCGGUGAAAUGUGUUGAUAUCGGAAGGAACGCCGGUGGCGAAAGCGACACACUGGGUCUCAACUGACGCUGAGGCACGAAAGCCAGGGGAGCGAACGGGAUUAGAUACCCUGGUAGUCUUC